rnacentral:rRNA from 1 species
UACAGAGGUCUCAAGCGUUGUUCGGAUUCAUUGGGCGUAAAGGGUGCGUAGGCGGCGCGGUAAGUCGGGUGUGAAAUCUCGGAGCUUAACUCCGAAACUGCAUUCGAUACUGCCGUGCUUGAGGACUGGAGAGGAGACUGGAAUUUACGGUGUAGCGGUGAAAUGCGUAGAUAUCGUAAGGAAGACCAGUGGCGAAGGCGGGUCUCUGGACAGUUCCUGACGCUAAGGCACGAAGGUCAGGGGAGCAAACGGG